AGAGCGAACGCUGGCGGCAGGCCUAACACAUGCAAGUCGAGCGCCCGUAGCAAUACGGGAGCGGCAGACGGGAUAGUAACACGUGGGAACGCGCCCUUCGGUUCGGAAUAACUCAGGGAAACUUGAGCUAAUACCGGAUACGCCCUUACGGGGAAAGAUUUAUUGCCGAAGGAACGGCCCGCGUCCGAUUAGCUAGUUGGUGAGGUAAUGGCUCACCAAGGCGACGAUCGGUAGCUGGUCUGAGAGGAUGACCAGCAUCACUGGGACUGAGACACGGCCCAGACUCCUACGGGAGGCAGCAGUGGGGAAUAUUGGACAAUGGGCGCAAGCCUGAUCCAGCCAUGCCGCGUGGAUGAUGAAGGCCUUAGGGUUGUAAAGUCCUUUUAACGGGGAAGAUAAUGACGGUACCCGUAGAAUAAGCCCCGGCUAACUUCGCGCCAGCAGCCGC
rnacentral:rRNA from 1 species